AGUGAACGCUGGCGGCAGGCCUAACACAUGCAAGUCGAACGGCAGCACAAGAGAGCUUGCUCUCUGGGUGGCGAGUGGCGGACGGGUGAGGAAUGCAUCGGAAUCUGCCUAUUUGUGGGGGAUAACCUCGGGAAACCGGGACUAAUACCGCAUACGACCUACGGGUGAAAGCAGGGGAUCUUCGGACCUUGCGCAGAUGGAUGAGCCGAUGCCGGAUUAGCUAGUUGGAGGGGUAAAGGCCCACCAAGGCGACGAUCCGUAGCUGGUCUGAGAGGAUGAUCAGCCAUACUGGAACUGAGACACGGCCCAGACUCCUACGGGAGGCAACAGUGGGGAAUAUUGGACAAUAGGCGCAAGCCUGAUCCAGCCAUGCCGCGUGUGUGAAGAAGGCCUUCGGGUUGUAAAGCACUUUUGUUGGGGAAGAAAAGCAGCCGGUUAAUACCCGGUUGUCUUGACGGUACCCAAAGAAUAAGCACCGGCUAACUUCGUG
rnacentral:rRNA from 1 species